rnacentral:lncRNA from 1 species
CAAAACAUGUGGCACAGAGACAAAAUUCGUUGUUGUAAAAGGAAAAAUCAAUUCUCCACCAUUAAUUAGUAAAUCCACUCUGAUUGAGCUAGGGAUGAUACAGAUAAGAAGUGAUGGUUCUUUUGUAAAGAAAAACCAAUUGAGAAUACCAGACAGUGGACCAAUUUUCAAAUCUGAGAAACAUUACCAAAUCACAUCAGGAUGCAAAAUAGCCAAUAAAGAAGUUAACCUAUUAAGAAAACCCAUCAACAAAACACAGCAGAUAACAGAGUUAAAAAAGAAAAAUACAAAAACAUCUAAGGAGCAGAAGAUUCGUAGAAGAUAUCAAUCAAACUUAUUUCAGGAGAUAAAUAAAAGAGACAGACAACCCAAGGAGAAAAUCAAAGGGUAUGUUGAAAAUAGAAACAAGAUGAAGAAAAUGGGCCCCCGCAAGACAGGCGCGGGAGGGGGCGGAUAAAGAGAACUUUGGAAAACAGAGACAAACGUCAGGAAACCAGGACUGAAACAUAAAGCGGAAG